CCUACGGGGGGCAGCAGUGAGGAAUAUUGGUCAAUGGCCGCAGGGCUGAACCAGCCAAGUCGCGUGAGGGAUGACGGUCCUAUGGAUUGUAAACCUCUUUUGUCAGGGAGCAAAGGGCGCCACGUGUGGCGCUUUGCGAGUACCUGAAGAACAAGCAUCGGCUAACUCCGUGCCAGCAGCCGCGGUAAUACGGAGGAUGCGAGCGUUAUCCGGAUUUAUUGGGUUUAAAGGGUGCGCAGGCGGAAUGUCAAGUCAGCGGUAAAAUUUCGGGGCUCAACCCCGUCGUGCCGUUGAAACUGGCGUUCUUGAGUGAGCGAGAAGUAUGCGGAAUGCGUGGUGUAGCGGUGAAAUGCAUAGAUAUCACGCAGAACUCCGAUUGCGAAGGCAGCAUACCGGCGCUCAACUGACGCUCAUGCACGAAAGCGUGGGUAUCGAACAGGAUUAGAUACCCCAGUAGUC
rnacentral:rRNA from 1 species